rnacentral:rRNA from 1 species
AACGUAGGUGGCAAGCGUUAUCCGGAAUUACUGGGCGUAAAGGGUGUGCAGGCGGGGAAGCAAGGGGGGUAUGAAAUCUCCCAGCUUAACUGGGAUAGGUUAUGCCAGACUGCUUUUCUAGAGGACGAGAGAGGGGGGUGGAAUUCCGGGUGUAGUGGUGAAAUGCGUAGAGAUCCGGAGGAACCCCAGAGGCGAAGGCGGCCCCCUGGCUCGUACCUGACGCUCAGCCACGAAAGCAUGGGGAGCGAACGGG